AAGUCGUAACAAGGUUUCCGUAGACAUAAGUCUGGAGCAAUCGAAUGAUUCUUCCGCAGUGACACUUAUAGAAGCCUUUGCAGCCUCGCAAGAGGUAGGGAGCACGACUCUAAAGAACAGCUCCCCUCAUGCAAGUCAGCUAUGCUGGCGACACGAUCGAAUUGACGGGGACGUCCUAAAGCCUGCAACACCAACUCGUCAGGGAAACCUAGGCGGGGGCCUGUGCUAACUACACAGGGCGGUAAAAGAUUGUAUGGAUACUCCUGCCACAGGA
rnacentral:misc_RNA from 1 species